rnacentral:rRNA from 1 species
AUGAGCGUCAACGACACCCCGGACGCCAUCUCUUGGCGUCUAGAAUCUUCCGGGCACUUCUCAACUAAAUCCCUGUACGCGGCCAUCGCGCCCUCGCCCGCCCCCGAGCCCUUCAGUUUGAUCUGGGAUAUCUGCCUGCCACUGAAGAUUAGGAUCUUCAUUUGGCAAUGAAUCCGUGGCCGCCUCCCCUCCGGAGUCGAAGUCCUCAAGCGUAACGGACUUGGAGAUGGGCUUUGCCCCCUGUGCGGCACGGUGGAGGAUGCUAACCACAUCUUCUUCACGUGCUCCACAACCCAGUUUCUUUGGUCCAGUUUCCGCGAGACGGUUGGUGGACAGUGGUGCAAUUCCAAUUUCCCCGACCUUCUCGCGGAGAUCCAUGCCUCGCCCCCUCGCUACCGACAUAUCCGUUGGCUCUGCAUGGGGGUCCUCGCCUGGACGCUGUGGACUGUCCGUAAUAAGCUUGUCAUCCAAAAGGUCACUCUCAGACGUGCUACUGACGCCAUUUUUAAAAUGUGUGGGUACUUGCAGCUUUGGCGGCCGCUUAGCCGCCCUCAGGAUCGGGACGUCAUCAACUCCCUCCUCCCCGACCUUCGAUCGCUCGCCUUCCGCCUGGCGCCUCCGCUUCCGCCGCCCCCCCGGAGCCCGACUAGAUGCUGUCGUUUAUUUCUGUUCUAG